UGGGGAAUUUUGGACAAUGGGGGAAACCCUGAUCCAGCCAUGCCGCGUGAGUGAAGAAGGCCUUCGGGUUGUAAAGCUCUUUCAGCCGGAACGAAACGGUCACGGCUAAUAUCCGUGACAACUGACGGUACCGGAAGAAGAAGCACCGGCUAACUACGUGCCAGCAGCCGCGGUAAUACGUAGGGUGCGAGCGUUAAUCGGAAUUACUGGGCGUAAAGCGUGCGCAGGCGGUUUUGUAAGUCAGAUGUGAAAUCCCCGGGCUUAACCUGGGAACUGCGUUUGAAACUACAAGGCUAGAGUGUGGCAGAGGGGGGUGGAAUUCCACGUGUAGCAGUGAAAUGCGUAGAGAUGUGGAGGAACACCGAUGGCGAAGGCAGCCCCCUGGGUUAACACUGACGCUCAGGCACGAAAGCGUGGGGAGCAAACA
rnacentral:rRNA from 1 species